rnacentral:rRNA from 1 species
UACGGAGGGGGCUAGCGUUGUUCGGAAUUACUGGGCGUAAAGCGCACGUAGGCGGCUUUGUAAGUUAGAGGUGAAAGCCCAGGGCUUAACCCUGGAAUUGCCUUUAAGACUGCAUCGCUAGAAUCGUGGAGAGGUGAGUGGAAUUCCGAGUGUAGAGGUGAAAUUCGUAGAUAUCGGGAGGAAUACCUAUGGCGAAAGCAGGUUUCUGGGCCAUCACUGACGCUGAGCUGCGAAAGCUAGGGGAGCAAACAGG